GUGUGUGGAUGAGUGAGUGAAUUAAUUAAUGAGUGAGGUGUGUGUGGGUGAGUGAGUGAAUGAAUGAAUGAGUAAGUGAGGUGUGUGUGGGUGAGUGAGUGAAUGGAUGAAUGAAUGGAUGAGUAAGUGAGGUGUUUGUGGGUGAGUGAAGGAAUGAAUGAAUGAGUAAGUAAGGUGUGUGUGGGUGAGUGAGUGAAUGAAUGAAUGAGUAAGUGAGGUGUGUGUGGGUGAGUGAGUGAAUUAAUGAAUGAGUAAGUGAGGUGUGUGUGGGUGAUUGAAGGAAUGAAUGAAUGAGUAAGUGAGGUGUGUGUGGGUGAGUGAGUGAAUGAAUGAAUGAAUAAAUGAAUGAAUAAGUACAGCGUUUAAAAUACUUCUGUGGACAUGGUCUG
ensembl:lncRNA